ensembl:lncRNA
AUGAGAAGCAGCCAGAGUCAGCCAGGGCUUCGGAGCUGCUUUUCAACGGAGGCUAUGCCGCUCUCCUCCACACACGGGUUUACCUCUCCUUCCAAUGAGAAGCAGCCAGAGUCAGCCAGGGCUUCGGGGCUGCUUUUCAACAGAGGCUACGGCUCUCUCCUCCAGGCUGCUUUCAGUCCUCAUUCAAAAUUGGAAGGAGAGGUAAACUCACGCCUUUUCUUUGAGCUGACAGGAAAGGAAAGGCUCAAUGUUUUGAUUCUUGAGAUCUUGCGAAAGAAGAGAGAGCGGGUGUUUUGCUUGCUCCUCCCUCCUGCAGUCAUUCUUCAGCUGGCUGACUUUCAUUACGCGGUGGGAAAAUGCAGAGGGUUAUACCAGAGGACUUCCGGUGCGUGGAACAUGGCGGGGAUACAGGACUCUUGAAGCUCUUGCCAAGAGCCUGCCUAUACGAAGCGGUUGGGUAGAGCUUAUCACUCCCUCUCCUCCGUGGAUCGAUAUGGGGAGACUGCGGAUCCCACGGCACCACCCGAUGGUCUAUAGAGUGGGUCCCCCCUCAAGGGAAAUCCUGCAUAUUGCAUUUGCUUUGUUGUAUCAAGUUCAUCUUGUUUAUUUCCCAUGUUUCAUCUCAGUGUAGAGACACCAAAACCCAUGGACAAAUCCUGCUAGCUGCUUAUUUAAGUUUUCCCUUUUCUUUAUUGAGCUCUUGUACUUCUUGCCUAGUUCUUUCUUUGACAGUUGGGUAUUUUCUCCUGAUAAAGUCCUGUCUAUUCUGUAAUCCUUACUAUUGCUCUGAAACAGGCCAGUAGUCUCAUCAUGCUGAAUAAGAUUACCAAGUGACACCUGAACUAGCGAUUUUUCAGCUUUUCAGUUAUAUGCCUAGCUGUUUCAUUGCAAAAGCAGAAAUGAUUGUUUGUAAUAACCUCUAAUCAUAGUGAAACUUUUGAAUGAGAAUAAUCCUGUGACAGAUUGAUUCUAGAGAGAUCCUUUGUCAAAAAUCCUUAAACAAUAUUAGUUGUACAGAUUAGCACUCUGGCACAAUAUUUUAUACUCUCAAUUAGCCAUGCAGAGAACAUCCAAUAUUCAUGUGGAUUCUUGGUAUCCAUUGGGGUUUGGCUUAAGGAUUGCCUCUGUGGAUAUUAAAAUCCACGGAUGUUCAAGUCCCAUUAUAUACAAUAGCAUAGAAAAAUGGCAUCCCUUAUAUAAAAUGGCAAUUUUUUUUUCGUGUCAGGAGCGACUUGAGAAACUGCAAGUCGCUUCUGGUGUGACAGAAUUGGUCGUCUGCAAGGACAUUGCCCAGGGGACGCCCAGAUGUUUUGAUUUUUUUUAAAAUCAUCCUUGUGGGAGGCUUCUCUCAUGUCCCCGCAUGGUGCUGGAGCUCAUCCGUGCUCUCCCCGGGUGGGAUUCGAACCUGGCAGCUUUCAGAUCAGCAACCCAACCUUCAAGUCACAAGGCUUUAAUCCACUAUGCCACCAGGGGCUCCUAUAAAUGACAAAUAACACUGGCUCAUUGAAAGCUAGCUUCGAACUGUAUUAAAUGGUUAGUGUAGAUGGCACCAAGUUCUACUUGCCUGCUACUGUAGGCAUUUUUUCAUUUGAGGAUUCAUUUUCUGUUGCUGAAAUUCCAUGUUCUUGCAUGGCAUGGUUCAGAGUUCGUAUUUCGAGAUCUGAAAAUAAUCCAAAUAAAUCUUUUAAAUUGUUGAGGUGUAGAAUAGUGUGCUAUAAUGACGACAAGGCAGAUUACAAAGUGUGACCCUCAUUUUCAGGUGAGUGUAACGUAAUCUAACAUGGGCUGACUCCCAAUUUCCAUAUCUAUCUUUUGACUGACUAGAAGCAUCUCUGUCUUAAGCGUUAAUUUGUUUGCUCUCAUUCUAUACGUUUGUUGUAGCCUGGUCAGAUUCAGAGUGCUCAGAAGAUGAGGAAGGGGAUGCUGGGAGAGAUUCAGAGUGCUCCAGGAGAAAUGUUUUGGAAUUUCCUGGCACUUCCCAAGAGAACGGUGAAGGCGAGAUCCAUUCCCAUAGGAACCUGUCAGAAGUGCAGACUGAGGGAAAUGUUUGUUGAGGUCAGAGAGAUUGCAGUUGAGACAACAGAGCCUGCAAUUAAGAACCCGCUCCUCCAAGUGACUUAGAAAUAAGGAGUGGGAAACCAGGUGCAGAGGAAACGAUCUCAUGGCAGGGAUUUUGGCUUUUUAAAAAUAGUUCAUGCCGGCAUGCUCUCUGUGAGAGUAACGUUGCAAUCAGGGCAAGAGCUCUCGGUGUCAUGGGCCUUGUAAUUGAUGUAAUCAAGUUUUCAAAUUGUUCCUGCAUCCUAGUCUUGUGAGGCAUAGUUUUGCCUGGCUUGGAUUUAUGUACCUUGUCUUUGAAUAUCUCGAUGGAAUUGUUUUAAAGAUUUUCUCUGAAUGGAAUUUGGACUUUGGCUUUUACAGACAUAACCUUUUGAGCUUUGAGUCCUUUUUAUAUUUGCUUGCUUUACACAUAACCAGCUGUUAUUAUACUCUGCUUUUAAUAAACCUUUACAUUGGAUCAUCAGAACAGUGUGUGGUUUGUAGUGAAAAGCGGCUUUAGGGCCAUGGUGCAACAAUGUUACAACUGUAAGUACAUAAUACCAACAAGGAGUCCCAUGGCCACUUUGAGUGCCUCAGGUGUUGCUCUGAGAAGGUCCCCCAUGGUGCAUGUGGCAGGGCUCAGACUACAUUGUACUACGUAAGUGGUCUGUGGUUUGCACUUCUCCACACACGCAUGUCAUGGACUCCACUUUAUACCCCCAUUUCUUAACAUUGGUUCCGCAUCUUGUUGGUACCAGAGCACAGUCUGUUCACUGCCUUCCAAGUCGCCUAGUCUUCUGUAUGUCCAGGAGGGAGUUUCUCAUUUGGUCCCAGCCACUGAUUGAGAUUCAGGGUUUUCGCCUGCCUCUUUUGGACUCUCACUUGCUAAGGUGUUCCUGCAGGUAUCUCUGUAGAUCUUAGGAAGCUUAGGACUUGCAGUAUGCAGCCCAUUAUGAUGAAUGGAAUUGUUUCACUUUUGUACUUAAAAUAGUUUGGAGUGAAAGUUUUUUAUUCUCACAACUGUUUUGCAGAGAUUACAUUUUUGAUCAAGAUCAAAUGCAAUGCAAUGGUAUUUUUGCUUCUCCUCCCUCCCCCAAAAUCUGCUGUCUGUCUGUCUAUCUAUCUAUGAGCACAUUCACUUUUGAAAAGUGUCUACAAUAAUUGUUCCCCAUUAUACUAUUCUCUCUUCCCAUCCAUCCCUUUGCACGACCCCCCUCCCUUUGCAUGAAGACAUUCAUAUACAUUUCUGUCCCUCCUUUCCAGGGAAACAUUCUCCUAUUUUUAGAUGAUGACAACAGUCAUCAUCUAAAAAUUCCAAGGAAAGAUUCUAACCUACAAAGAUCAAAUUAUGAAGCCUAUUCUAAGAACGUUUCCCUCUUUUCUUGUUCCACAAAAUUCAGAUAUAGUUCCCACACUUUUUCCUCCCUAUCCAUCACAACCAAUUAUCCAUUUUCCUCAUUCCAACUUUCACUAUCCAUUUUCUUUUUAUUUUAUUUUUCUCCUUCACCAUAAGUCUUUGUCCCUUUGCCUUCUUCCCCUCUUUUCUCUGGUCUUGCAUUUUAUUCUUUUCUUCCACUUGGUAGUUUAUUUAGUUCAAAUCUGUUUCUUUUGUACAAUUCUUUGGCCUUUGUCACUAAAGACGUCAUCAGAUGCAGUGAGAGAAGUGUCUUCUCCUCGCUUCUCUCCACUAUCGGCCUGGAGUCUCCCAGAGUCCAUCACAUGAUGUAGGACAACUUCCAGCAAAACUCCAUAGGGUUCUGUGCCAAAACAAGGCAAGGGGAGCCGAAGAGGAAAUGGGGAUAGAUGGGGAAAUGUUGUGGGAAGGCAGAGGUGAGAACAGAGUGUGACCAUUCCUUCUGUUACCCCACAGUUUUUCCUGCUGUACCCCACUUUGACUCUAGCUGUCUGAUAAGGUCCUGGGUCUAGUUCAGAUCUUCUAACACUUACAUAUGGGGCUGAAACUUGGGGAAAAUUUGGAUCUCUUCCAGAAAUUUCUAUUUUGAAUCUCCCAUUUUGAUUGGUUUUUCAUCUCAUUCUUCUUUCCUCUCUUUUUCCUUUUCCAGUGUAUUCACUUUUGAUCUUGCUGUCAUAGUUGUUUAAUGUAAUCUGUAUCUCAACUUUCAAACCAGGCAACCUUCCAUGGAAUCCUGUUUGUGUGGUAUGGAUUUUCAGACCACAAUAACUUAUUUUGAUAUAUAAAGUCUAUGUCCAGCAAUUGUUUAGUUAUUCCUUCUUUCAAAUAGUUCAAUUGGUUGGUUAUAGUCCUUUUUAUCUUAGUGAUUUUCACUUCCUUGUGCCCCUGUAUUUAUCCUC